GUUUGGGUUAGCGGAUGUGCUUCGUCCGAAACUUCUAUCAAAUUCAAUGCAGGGACGUUGCAUGCAGCCAUCAGCCGCUAACCGUACCCAAGCGUGUAUCGCAACGCUGAUGAUUCGGAGCAUCAGGCGGUCAAGAAGAGGCAAGAUUUCUACUCUCAGCAAGCCGGGAUACUUCUAGCACUGCAGCACACAACUUUGAUUUUUGAUAUUUGUUGCAUUUAAACUUUGUAUUCGGAAGCAGAAGCAAGCAGCAAAGGAAAUACUUUAGAGACAAACUGUUUAGCAUAACAGUGCCUUUACGAUUGUAAAAAAUCAACAGGUUUUGUCUGCCGUCUCGGAAACAUACUCGCACGCGCACUGAUGACAGGCUAGGGGAGUAUUUUCCCUUUCAAACCCGUUUGGUGUGCGGAAGCUAAAGGUGGGAUAAAAAGGCGGAUGUAAGAAAAUGCACUGAUCAUCUCACGUGAACUUGGGUGUUUGGCCCAGUGC